CUUUGUGGGGCUUCUCAGAUGCCAGACCCACUAGAUGACUCUCAGGAGCUCCAUGGAGACUUGGAGGAAAGGCUCCUUCCGCAAUGCCUCCUUUUUCAAGCGAAUCACCCUGGGGCGGCCACGGAGACUGCAGCGACAGGGCAGCAUACUUAGCCAAGCCAGCACUGCUGGUGGUGACCACGAGGAGUACAGCAACCGGGAAGUCAUCCGGGAACUGCAAGGGAGGCCUGACGGCCGUCGUCUACCCUUGUGGGGGGAUGAGCAUCCCCGAGCCACACUACUGGCCCCACCCAAGCCCCCACGCCUCUACCGAGAGAGCUCCAGCUGCCCCAACAUUCUGGAGCCCCCAGCAACCUACGCAGCUGGCUACUCAUCCACUCUGCCUUCAGCAAUCUCCCUGACGGGGCCCCUCCACCAGUGCUCACAAGAGGGCCUUUUGGACACUCCCCAUUUCCCAAGGACACCUACUCCGGACCUCAGUGACCCUUUUUUCUCCUUCAAAGUGGACCUGGGGCUUUCACUUCUGGAAGAAGUUCUACAGAUACUAAAGGAACAAUUCCCAAGCGAGCCCCACUUCUGACCUGGUGAGGAUAUCGAGAACUGGGAUGACUGGAGUGAAGGCUGUGGGACCCAGGGAAGGAAGGUACAGUGUGGACUAAGGAACAAGUGGGGACCGGAAGUCACAGUUCUCCCUGCCCUCUGGCUGCUGACUAGUCCUUCAAGUCACCCAGAGUGAAGGGACAAAGCCAGACGGGAAUAUAUGGGAGUCACUUUCUGGCAGGAGCACUGAAGGAAGCGGGAGAGGCCAGGAAAAGGAAGCCACAACCUGCAACCACAGGAACCAGUCAGAGCUACAAAGACAACAUCAGCAUCAACCACA